rnacentral:lncRNA from 1 species
CCCCGGAAUAUAAGCCCCCCGUGUAUACGCCCACCACAUGUACUAACGCUCACCUCAUUCCAACUAUAAGCCCCCCCCAGAAUAUAAGCCCACCCGAAUAUAAGCCCACUUGUUUAUCACUAUUGUUUAUCACUAUUACCCAUAGAUAUCUCAUAUCAAUGCUAUUACCACUAUUAAUCGCUAUUAUUACAAUAGUAUGUUUGUUUAGCAUUU